AGAGUUUGAUCCUGGCUCAGAAUCAACGCUGGCGGCGUGCCUCAGACAUGCAAGUCGAACGAUUAGAGCUCUCUUCGGAGAGUGUAUAGAGUGGCGCACGGGUGAGUAACACGUAAGUAAUCUACCUUUGAGUGGGGAAUAACACCGAGAAAUCGGUGCUAAUACCGCAUAAUGCAGCGGCAUCGCAAGAUGACAGUUGUUAAAGAUUUAUCGCUUGAAGAGGAGCUUGCGGCAGAUUAGCUAGUUGGUAAGGUAAUGGCUUACCAAGGCUACGAUCUGUAACCGGUCUAAGAGGACGGUCGGUCACACUGACACUGAAUAACGGGUCAGACUCCUACGGGAGGCAGCAGUCGGGAAUUUUGGGCAAUGGGCGAAAGCCUGACCCAGCAACGCCGCGUGAAGGAUGAAGUAUUUCGGUAUGUAAACUUCGAAAGAAUGGGAAGAAUAAAUGACGGUACCAUUUAUAAGGUCCGGCUAACUACGUGCCAGCAGCCGCGGUAAUACGUAGGGACCAAGCGUUGUUCGGAUUUACUGGGCGUAAAGGGCGCGUAGGCGGCCCGCAAGUCACUUGUGAAAUCUCCGGGCUUAACUCGGAACGGCCAAGUGAAACUGCGGAGCUAGAGUGUGGAAGGGGCAAUCGGAAUUCUUGGUGUAGCGGUGAAAUGCGUAGGAUUCAAGAGGAACACCUGAGGUGAAGACGGGUUGCU
rnacentral:rRNA from 1 species